rnacentral:rRNA from 1 species
CAGUAGUCACGAGUUUGAUCAUGGCUCAGAUUGAACGCUGGCGGCAUGCCUAACACAUGCAAGUCGAACGAGACCUUCGGGUCUAGUGGCGCACGGGUGCGUAACGCGUGGGAACCUGCCUUUAGGUUCGGAAUAACUCAGAGAAAUUUGAGCUAAUACCGGAUAAUGUCUUCGGACCAAAGAUUUAUCGCCUUUAGAUGGGCCCGCGUUGGAUUAGCUAGUUGGUGGGUAAAGGCCUACCAAGGCGACGAUCCAUAGCUGGUCUGAGAGGAUGAUCAGCCACACUGGGACUGAGACACGGCCCAGACUCCUACGGGAGGCAGCAGUGGGGAAUAUUGGGACAAUGGGCGAAAGCCUGAUCCAGCAAUGCCGCGUGAGUGAUGAAGGCCUUAGGGUUGUAAAGCUCUUUUACCCGAGAUGAUAAUGACAGUAUCGGGAGAAUAAGCUCCGGCUAACUCCGUG